GAGCACCCUCAUCCGUGUUUCUAAAGGCCCAUAUUCUUUAAAUUAUCAAAGAAAUUUUGGAAAAACUUCUCUUCCCGCUUCCUAAAUUAGGGAUUUCAUUUGUGGCUACUACAAUGAUUCCUUAAAUAUGGAGAGUUACUGUUCAUCCCCAAAGGCAUUGUGCAUUUUUCUUGCUCUGUUUCCUACAUUGAACUCUCUUUUAUGCCCUAGUUGGUAUCGACCCUCUCUAACAUUGUUUGUGUCCAAUGACGGGAAUCCCUCCAAUUGUCUUCGAUAGACGACGGGAAGCAAGCUGCAAGACACCGCGCUGGGGUGAUCAAUGGGGCACUGAAGAUUGCAAUCGCAAAGCUUUGAUUAUGAUGACAAGCUCGUGACACAGGUAGGGCACGACAGCGCGCAGCAAGACGGUGGAGAUGAAGGCAGCUGCUUCAGCUGGACUUGUCAAGGUCGAUGCAUCUGCAGCUCCCAAGAGGCAAGGAGCCAAACCUUGGGAGAGAUUAAAUAGGUCUGAAUCAAUAUCUGAGAUUGAGAAAGGUCUCCAAAUGAACAAAUUUAUCCUUUGAUGCAUGAUAAUCCAACUACUUUUCCUGAAAUUCAAAAGGGUAUCAUGUUGCUGCAACUUACAGCUCCUUGGUCACUUUAAUUUGUUUUGCUUAUAGACAGGUCGGGUUAGUUAUUA